AAAGGUUAGUUGAGAAAAUUGGUUUCAAUUUGAGACGUUAGUGUUUAUGGCUGAACUUGAAAACAAAAGAAAAGAGAAAGGAAAGGCCAACCAUUCUACGAAGCCCGUUUCCCUUUUCAGCAAACCCAGACCUCCCCAAAAAUCCGUUUACCCCAUCUAAGCAGCGGCGGCGUUUUGUCACGUUCAAUCGUGGCCGUUCGUUGAUCAAGAUCAGACAGUUUAGAACUAACCCACUCCACCACUUUUAAAUGUCGGAUUCCUUCUUCCCCUCCCCCUCACCCCCCAAGCCUGAAGACACCCUUCAUUUCCCUCUCUUCUCUAACGAACUAAACUUUAGCCCCCCUAAUAUUCCCACAAGCCCCCACCGACGGCCGCAAUCCUAGCACCACCAAAUGACUGCUAAAUCCACCCAAAUUAACAUAAUCAAGCAAAACCCAAGUUUAUUUUGUUCUCUUUUUCUUCUGUUUCCGUUUGAUUGAUGGGUUUGAAAUACGAUUGAUGGAAGUUUUAAGUCAUCGAUUAGUCGUCGAGUUUCAGACAAGGGUUAACGUUUACUAGCAUGACCUCUGUUAGGUAAUUUCUUUUCCUUUGAUUGUUCUUGUUAACUUUCUUGCUUCUUCUACUCUUCUAUAAGACCAUUCUAUAAAUAUUUGGUCUAGAAUAAUAUUAGUUAGACGAAUGUUAAUUUUUCCAGUUUGUUAUUGAUUGUUAAGUGUUUGGCUCAUUUAGUUAGAUUAAUUAUGUUAUCAGUCUAAUCUAAAAAAAAAAAAGGAAACAUGAAUUGUUGCACUCAAUCGUUUUUACUUUCCGAUUUUGUUUUUUUCUACUUUUUAUUUUCUCUUUGUGAUUUUUCGUUCUAGAUUGGGCGGGUUUGUUAAGGGCCAUUUGUCCAUGGGCACCCGACCAGGACCAGUCUGGUUUUGAAGGGAAUAGAAAUGGCCAUUUUGGCAAAAGAAAAAAGGGGUGGAGUCUAAAAAACAACAACAAUCAGGUAUAAUAUAAUUUAAUGAGGUCUGGGGAGGGUAGUAUGUACGCAGACCUUACCUCUACCCUUGGGUAGAAAGGUUGUUUCCAAAUAGACCCCCGACAUUCCUCCCUCCAAGAACUUCCCAACUUGCUCUUGGGGAGACUCAAACUCACAACCUUUUGAUUGAAAUUGGGGUUGCUUACCACCACAGCAACCCCUCUUGUCUAGGGGUGAGUCUAAAAAGAAUAAAGGAAAAUGAUUAACAGUAGAGAGGUAGCUGGUAUUUUUUCAGUUACAAAUAUCCUUCCUCUCUCUCAUUUCUCUGAUUUCACGUUUCCUCUCUCAUAGAGCAGACACAUAGUUCCUAUAUAAAGGACCUCACAUUCAUUCACUCACAGACGAAUCAGAUUGCAAAUUUUCAGAUAUCUUUCAUUUUUCUUCACUCUCAUUUUUCAAUAAAGAAGUUUCUAACAUCUAAAAAAAACUAAAAAGAAAAGGUUCAAGGUUUUCUUUUGAGUUCAAAUCUUCUGCUACAAGUUCUGGGUUUAUAGCUGUUGAAGUUAGAAAAGAGUCACUAUUUUGUUGCUGUAUUGAUUCUGCUGGAUUAAGCUGUAGAUAUGCAGUUCAAACUUGCUCCUUUAUUUUCUUGUUUCUAUUUGACUAUUAGUAGGUGAGCUUAUCCACCUCGUUAGUUCCUAUUUGAACUAUAAUUAAUUAGAUUUGUUUAUGCUAUACUCUUGCAAUUGGGCUUCACAUGAAAGCCCAUUUCCACCUCAUUUAUCCCUUAUGGCAUUUUACCCUAUGGAUUUUUUCCUAUCAAACUUUAUUACUAAAAAUAUGCAUACUUUCAUUAUUACUCGCCAUGUUUAUAUUUUUACUACAAAAUUUAUACCUUUCAUUAAAUAUUCAAUAUUAUGAAUUGAUUCCUUCCAAAUUAGGCGCCUACAAAUCUGGAAAAUUUCUACACUUCAUUAAAUACAAAAUCUGGAAAGUUUUUGUUUUUGUUUUUCUUUUCCUUCACUGAGCCGAGGGUCGAUUGGAAACAGCCUCUCUGNNNNNNNNNNNNNNNNNNNNNNNNNNNNNNNNNNNNNNNNNNNNNNNNNNNNNNNGGGUUGAUUGGAAACAGCCUCUCUGCCCUUUCGGGUAG
rnacentral:lncRNA from 1 species